UUAAGCGACUAAGCGUACACGGUGGAUGCCCUGGCAGUCAGAGGCGAUGAAGGGCGUGCUAAUCUGCGAUAAGCGCCGGUAAGGUGAUAUGAACCGUUAUAACCGGCGAUACCCGAAUGGGGAAACCCAGUGUGACUCGUCACACUAUCAUUAACUGAAUCCAUAGGUUAAUGAGGCGAACCGGGGGAACUGAAACAUCUAAGUACCCCGAGGAAAAGAAAUCAACCGAGAUUCCCCCAGUAGCGGCGAGCGAACGGGGAGGAGCCCAGAGCCUGAAUCAGCAUGUGUGUUAGUGGAAGCGUCUGGAAAGGCGCGCGAUACAGGGUGACAGCCCCGUACACAAAAGCGCAUGUGCUGUGAGCUCGAUGAGUAGGGCGGGACACGUGGUAUCCUGUCUGAAUAUGGGGGGACCAUCCUCCAAGGCUAAAUACUCCUGACUGACCGAUAGUGAACCAGUACCGUGAGGGAAAGGCGAAAAGAACCCCGGCGAGGGGAGUGAAAAAGAACCUGAAACCGUGUACGUACAAGCAGUGGGAGCACAGGUUUACCUGUGUGACUGCGUACCUUUUGUAUAAUGGGUCAGCGACUUAUAUUCUGUAGCAAGGUUAACCGAAUAGGGGAGCCGGAGGGAAACCGAGUCUUAAUUGGGCGUUAAGUUGCAGGGUAUAGACCCGAAACCCGGUGAUCUAGCCAUGGGCAGGUUGAAGGUUGGGUAACACUAACUGGAGGACCGAACCGACUAAUGUUGAAAAAUUAGCGGAUGACCUGUGGCUGGGGGUGAAAGGCCAAUCAAACCGGGAGAUAGCUGGUUCUCCCCGAAAGCUAUUUAGGUAGCGCCUCGUGAAUUCAUCUCCGGGGGUAGAGCACUGUUUCGGCUAGGGGGCCAUCCCGGCUUACCAACCCGAUGCAAACUGCGAAUACCGGAGAAUGUUAUCACGGGAGACACACGGCGGGUGCUAACGUCCGUCGUGAAGAGGGAAACAACCCAGACCGCCAGCUAAGGUCCCAAAGUCAUGGUUAAGUGGGAAACGAUGUGGGAAGGCCCAGACAGCCAGGAUGUUGGCUUAGAAGCAGCCAUCAUUUAAAGAAAGCGUAAUAGCUCACUGGUCGAGUCGGCCUGCGCGGAAGAUGUAACGGGGCUAAACCAUGCACCGAAGCUGCGGCAGCGACACUGUGUGUUGUUGGGUAGGGGAGCGUUCUGUAAGCCUGUGAAGGUGGCCUGUGAGGGUUGCUGGAGGUAUCAGAAGUGCGAAUGCUGACAUAAGUAACGAUAAAGCGGGUGAAAAGCCCGCUCGCCGGAAGACCAAGGGUUCCUGUCCAACGUUAAUCGGGGCAGGGUGAGUCGACCCCUAAGGCGAGGCCGAAAGGCGUAGUCGAUGGGAAACAGGUUAAUAUUCCUGUACUUGGUGUUACUGCGAAGGGGGGACGGAGAAGGCUAUGUUGGCCGGGCGACGGUUGUCCCGGUUUAAGCGUGUAGGUGUGUGUUCCAGGUAAAUCCGGUUCACUUUAACACUGAGGCGUGAUGACGAGGCACUACGGUGCUGAAGCAACAAAUGCCCUGCUUCCAGGAAAAGCCUCUAAGCAUCAGGUAACAUCAAAUCGUACCCCAAACCGACACAGGUGGUCAGGUAGAGAAUACCAAGGCGCUUGAGAGAACUCGGGUGAAGGAACUAGGCAAAAUGGUGCCGUAACUUCGGGAGAAGGCACGCUGACACGUAGGUGAAGUGAUUUACUCAUGGAGCUGAAGUCAGUCGAAGAUACCAGCUGGCUGCAACUGUUUAUUAAAAACACAGCACUGUGCAAACACGAAAGUGGACGUAUACGGUGUGACGCCUGCCCGGUGCCGGAAGGUUAAUUGAUGGGGUCAGCGCAAGCGAAGCUCCUGAUCGAAGCCCCGGUAAACGGCGGCCGUAACUAUAACGGUCCUAAGGUAGCGAAAUUCCUUGUCGGGUAAGUUCCGACCUGCACGAAUGGCGUAAUGAUGGCCAGGCUGUCUCCACCCGAGACUCAGUGAAAUUGAACUCGCUGUGAAGAUGCAGUGUACCCGCGGCAAGACGGAAAGACCCCGUGAACCUUUACUAUAGCUUGACACUGAACAUUGAGCCUUGAUGUGUAGGAUAGGUGGGAGGCUUUGAAGUGUGGACGCCAGUCUGCAUGGAGCCGACCUUGAAAUACCACCCUUUAAUGUUUGAUGUUCUAACGUGGACCCGUAAUCCGGGUUGCGGACAGUGUCUGGUGGGUAGUUUGACUGGGGCGGUCUCCUCCUAAAGAGUAACGGAGGAGCACGAAGGUUGGCUAAUCCUGGUCGGACAUCAGGAGGUUAGUGCAAUGGCAUAAGCCAGCUUGACUGCGAGCGUGACGGCGCGAGCAGGUGCGAAAGCAGGUCAUAGUGAUCCGGUGGUUCUGAAUGGAAGGGCCAUCGCUCAACGGAUAAAAGGUACUCCGGGGAUAACAGGCUGAUACCGCCCAAGAGUUCAUAUCGACGGCGGUGUUUGGCACCUCGAUGUCGGCUCAUCACAUCCUGGGGCUGAAGUAGGUCCCAAGGGUAUGGCUGUUCGCCAUUUAAAGUGGUACGCGAGCUGGGUUUAGAACGUCGUGAGACAGUUCGGUCCCUAUCUGCCGUGGGCGCUGGAGAACUGAGGGGGGCUGCUCCUAGUACGAGAGGACCGGAGUGGACGCAUCACUGGUGUUCGGGUUGUCAUGCCAAUGGCACUGCCCGGUAGCUAAAUGCGGAAGAGAUAAGUGCUGAAAGCAUCUAAGCACGAAACUUGCCCCGAGAUGAGUUCUCCCUGAGACUUAGAGUCUCCUGAAGGAACGUUGAAGACGACGACGUUGAUAGGCCGGGUGUGUAAGCGCAGCGAUGCGUUGAGCUAACCGGUACUAAUGAACCGUGAGGCUUAACCUU
rnacentral:rRNA from 1 species